rnacentral:lncRNA from 1 species
CUGAAACUUUCAGAAGAAAACUCAGGAAUUUGUGAGCUGUGCCCAGGUGAAGAAGAGUGAGAGGACGAUAGGAAGCCAGUGCUGGUGUGAUGAUAGGCAAGAGUCUGUGGACAGAAAAGGCAGUGUGGCGUGCUGUUUGGAAAUGACCUUCAAUCGACAUGAAGAUUCACAGAAAGGUAGAGUUUGUACAUACUUGGUUUAAACACUGAUCAGAAGAGUCAUAUUCCGAAAGGACAAGGAAGUCAGUGUGGCUACAGAGAAGAAGGACUGUUACAAAACAAAGAAAAAUUACAUGUUUCUGCUGCC